GGAUCGAACCCGGGUCACCCGCGUGACAGGCGGGAAUACUCACCACUAUACUACAACGACAACUUAAUACUCAGCGGUACUAACAUUUAUUUAACAGAAAUAAGAUUUUCUCUCUCGCUGUGCCGCAACGUGUUAAACCGCAACAAACAAAAACUUCUCUACUCCUUCUCUUCUCGUUUACUGUAGAAAUUGAGAAGCUUGGUAUCACAUAGUCUACGAAUCUUGGCCAUAAACCCUAAGCUAAAUUAGUUUCUAGGAACCAAUUAAGAAGAGAUGCUUGGCGAUGGCGGCGAAACCCCCUCAAGGUAUGAAUUGUUGAGCAUGGUGAAGAAGCACUCCAACUUAAUAGGGAAAACGGUGGUUGAGGAGCAAGAUGCUUCUGAUAUCGAAAUGGAUAUGAAGUUUUGGCACGAUGUCUUUGAUUUGUAUUUCGUCCGUGGCAAGGAGUCAAGGGGACGCCAAGAUGAUGAUCUUGUUUUCUUUGUCAGAAAAUUGGGUUCGCAUGGUUCUGGUUCCAACAAUAAAACAGAGAGUGUUGAUCCUUAUUUUGUACGCAGGUGGGCACCUAAGUUGAGCGACUUAGUUGAUGAAACUUCUAUAGAUGUGGACUGGAGGCGUUCAUUUUACUUGAAUUUAAUUGCUCAUACGUCAUUCAGCGUAACUGUUGCAAUUUGCAGCAGGAUCUUCUUAACCAUCGAGCUGGGCAGGAUGCAGCUUUAUCCCCUAUAUAUAAGUGUGUGGCCAAUUGCACUUUCUCAGGUUGUGAAGACUGUUUAUGCAUCCCCAACUCGUGUUAAUUUUCAAUUGGACUCUAAAAAGGAAGUGGAAACGACUCCUGCUUAUCCAGAUAUAUGUUUUGCAAUUGAUGAUUUUGACUCCACCUUUGAUGCUGUGGUUUUGACUGAAAAAGAUCACUGCUAUUGUGUAGUUCUAAAUGCACAUGAUGGGGCAGCAUUUCCAAGUGAAAAGGUGUCAAAUGAUUGUAGUACUAGUGGUAGCUCCUCUUUGGAAGUCCAUUCUAGUUCUGCAAAGAAAAAAGAUACAAAGCUUACCCUAUUCUCAGGAUUUGUCAGCUACCAGAUGGUUCGAGAUGCAUAUGAUGGUAAUUUUUUAACAAAUCUUUGGAUUGACAACAAAUCGCUCAAGAUCAUGAGCACGAAUGACAGCAGUGACCUGUUGCUGCCAGGUCAUGAAGUUUUUCUCAUCAAGUUUGCAGGUGACAGUCAAAGAGAAAGUGUUUGUGACACUGGCGAAAGUUUGAGUGGAGUUUGCAGGAGCGGAAGCCAUUGGAAUACAAUUGAAGAUACAAAAGAGUAAUUUCAAGAAUCAAAAAGAAAGGAGGCAAAACAGCGCCACAACAAGAAACACAACAAGAUUACAAGAUUGAAACAAAUAGUGUUGUGAAAUCAAACACAACAGAGGACAAUGCAAGAAGGGCGCGAUAGCAAAAAGAACACAAAUUGGAGAAUCGCACAGAUCGCAACAGCGAGAAGAACGCUUCGUCGAAGAUGACACAACGCGACUACGAGCACAACAGCGACAGAACGGACGCGACGGCAAGAGGAUGUGACGGCGAGAGAGCUAGCCCAAGAUCACACCGAACUCACAAUGAUACCAUAUAGGAGAACAGAAUUUAGAGAAGAAUAUUAUUGAAAAGCUAAACUACACAUUGUGCGAUCAAAGCCAGGAGGAUUCAGGCCCAUUUUCUCCAGUUAUAUCAAAGAAAGCAUUUGGGCUUGGCGUAAUUGUCCGCAGAGCAGCAUCCGCGGCAUCAGUGGCAGCAAGG